CCUACGGGAGGCUGCAGUGGGGAAUAUUGGACAAUGGGGGGAACCCUGAUCCAGCCAUGCCGCGUGUGUGAAGAAGGCCCUCGGGUUGUAAAGCACUUUCAGUGAGGAAGAACGCCUGGUGGUUAAUACCCAUCAGGAAAGACAUCACUCACAGAAGAAGCACCGGCUAACUCCGUGCCAGCAGCCGCGGUAAUACGGAGGGUGCGAGCGUUAAUCGGAAUUACUGGGCGUAAAGCGCGCGUAGGUGGCUUGAUAAGCCGGUUGUGAAAGCCCCGGGCUCAACCUGGGAACGGCAUCCGGAACUGUCAAGCUAGAGUGCAGGAGAGGAAGGUAGAAUUCCCGGUGUAGCGGUGAAAUGCGUAGAGAUCGGGAGGAAUACCAGUGGCGAAGGCGGCCUUCUGGACCGACACUGACACUGAGGUGCGAAAGCGUGGGUAGCAAACAGGAUUAGAUACCCUUGUAGUC
rnacentral:rRNA from 1 species